CAUGUUCGAUGGGGUUCAAAUCAGGGCUUCUGGCUGGCCGUGGAACGGUUUUAAUUUAGCUUCUUGAUGCAGGAAAUCAAUGACUGCGGGUGCACGAUGUGGCCUGGCGUUGUCAUCCAUAAAGAUUGGCCUUGUUAAUAGGGGAUGAUUAUCAAACUGAGGCACUAUAAGCCUCCUCAAGAUUUCCUCUUGGUAUCUUUGUCCAUUCACAUUUCCUCUCACUGUGACAAGCUGAAGUUUGCAGUCAUACGACACACAGCCCCAUACCAUCAAUAAUCCUGCGCCGAAUGGAACUUCUUCCAGGAUGUUCCUUUCAGGACGUGCCCCGUUCCUCUACCGCCAUACAAGCGUCCUUCGAUCAUUAACAAACAGCAAAAAACGACUCACGUCUGAAAAAUGGAUUUUCCUCCAAGAAGCUAGAUUACACUGAUGCCGGUCACUGAUGCAUCACCGUAAUCUUGCAGAUAUAAAAUAUAAGUUAUCCAGCACCGGGUUCGUUAUUCACUCUAUCCCCAUCAGUUCUAUCAGAUAUAAAAUAUGAGAUAUAAGUUAUCCAGCACCAGGUUUGUUAUUCACUCUUUGCCCACCAGUUCUAUCAGAUAUAAAAUAUGAGAUAUAAGUUAUCCAGCACCGGGUUUGUUAUUCACUCUAUGCCCACCAGUUCUAUCAGAUAUAAAAUAUGAGAUAUAAGGUAUCCAGCACCGGGUUUGUUAUUCACUCUUUGCCCAUCAGUUCUAUCAGAUAUAAAAUAUGAGAUAUAAGGUAUCCAGCACCGGGUUCGUUAUUCACUCUACGCCCAUCAGUUCUAUCAGAUAUAUAAUAUAAGAUAUAUGGUAUCCAGCACCAGGUUUGUUAUUCACUCUAUGCCCAUCAGUUCUAUCAGAUAUAAAAUAUGAGAUAUAAGUUAUCCAGCACCGGGUUUGUUAUUCACUCUAUGCCCAUCAGUUCUAUCAGAUAUAAAAUAUGAGAUAUAAGGUAUCCAGCACCGGGUUCGUUAUUCACUCUAUGCCCAUCAGUUAUAUCAGAUAUAAAAUAUGAGAUAUAAGUUAUCCAGCACCAGGUUUGUUAUUCACUCUUUGCCCACCAGUUCUAUCAGAUAUAAAAUAUAAGAUAAAAGUUAUCCAGCACCGGGUUUGUUAUUUACUCUUUGCCCAUCAGUUCUAUCAGAUAUAAAAUAUGAGAUAAAAGUCAUUCAGCACCGGGUUCGUUAUUCACUCUUUGCCCAUCAGUUCUAUCAGAUAUAAAGUAUGAGAUAUAAGUUAUCCAGCACCGGGUUUGUUACUCUAUGCCCAUCAGUUCUAUCUGAUAUAAAAUAAUAGUUACCAAGCACUGGGUUUGUUAUUCUCUCUAUGCCCAUCAGUUCUAUCAGAUAUAAAAUAUAAGAUAUAAGUUAUCCAGCACCAGGUUUGUUAUUCACUCUUUGCCCAUCAGUUCUAUCAGAUAUAAAAUAUAAGAUAUAAGUCAUCCAGCACUGGGUUUGUUACUCUAUGCCCAUCAGUUCUAUCUGAUAUAAAAUAAUAGUUACCCA